rnacentral:rRNA from 1 species
UACGAAGGUCCCAAGCGUUAUCCGGAUUUAUUGGGUUUAAAGGGUGCGUAGGCGGAUUAUUAAGUCAGUGGUGAAAGCCUUCAGCUUAACUGAAGAACUGCCAUUGAUACUGAUGAUCUUGAGUAUGAUUGAGGUGGGCGGAAUGUGUCAUGUAGCGGUGAAAUGCUUAGAUAUGACACAGAACACCGAUUGCGAAGGCAGCUCACUAAGUCAUAACUGACGCUGAGGCACGAAAGCGUGGGGAGCAAACAGG